CUUGGUAUGUUCUGUGUUAGUUUGUUGCUCAGUCAGAUAGCGCUUAUUUGAUAUCCUGUGUUUGUUUUUGUUUUUUUGUGAAAUUGUUUAAUAUUCUGUUUCAUUUGUUCCCAGGGUGGAAGGGGAAGGCACCUAGGGAGUGCUUAGGCAAGAGGCCUGUGGGCAUACAUAACCUGUAGUAGUUUACUGUCUAUGCACACUAGGACCUGAGCCCUAGGACCAUGCCUCAGGACUACCUGGCUUGAUGACUCCUUGCUGUCCCCAGUUCACCUGGCUGUGCUGCGGCUCCAGUUCCAACUGUUCUGCCUGCAGCUAUGGAACCCUGACCUGUUCACCGGACGUGCUACCUGUCCCAGACCUGUUGUCCCAGACCUGCUGGAACCCUGACCUAUUCACCGGACGUGCUACCUGUCCCAGACCUGCUGUUUUCAACUCUCUAGAGACAGCAGGAGCGGUAGAGAUACUCUCAAAGAUCGGCUAUGAAAAAGCCAACUGACACUUACCCUUGUGUUACUGACUUGUUGCACCCUCGACAACUACUAUGAUUAUUAUUUGACAAUGCUGGUCAUUUAUGAACAUUUGAAAAUCUAGGCCAUGUGCUGUUAUAAUAUCCACCUGGCACAGCCAGAAGAGGACUGGCCACCCCUCAUAGCCUGGUUCCUCUCUAGGUUUCUUCCUAGGUUUUGGCCUUUUUAGGGAGUUUUUCCUAGCCACCGUGCUUCUACACCUGCAUUGCUUGCUGUUUGGGGUUUUAGGCUGGGUUUCUGUACAGCACUUUGUGAUAUCAGCUGAUGUAAGAAGGGCUUUAUGAAUCAAUAUGAUUGAUUUUCCCCCAAUUGCUCAGUUUGGCCAGCCGGCCAGCUCAAGUCAUGCCCAAUACAUUUUAUUUACCACAGGUGGACUCCAAUUAAGUUGUAGAAACAUCGCAAGGAUGACCAAUGGAAACAGGUUGCACCUGAGCUAAAUUGAGUCUCAUAGCAAAGGGUCUGAAUACUUAUGUAAAUAAGGUAUUUCUGUUUUUUAUUUUUUAUACAGUACAUUUGCAAAAAUGUCUAAACCUGUUUUUGCUUUUUCGUUAAGGGGUAUUGUGUGUAGAUUCAUUAGGAAAAUAAUUGAUUUCAUCCAUUUUAGAAUAAUGCUGUAAAGUAACAAAAUGUGGAAAAAGUCAAGGGUUCUGAAUACUUUCCGAAUGCACUGUAUAUCCCAGAUUUCAGUGUUAGAGUAUGUAAGCGGUUAACUGAUUGUCUGUGCAGUAUGCGGCCGAGUUGAAGGCAAUGAUUAUAGGUUUGAGAUGGGUGGAGGAGGUGAAACCACUCACAGUGGUGAUCUGCUCAUAUUCAGCUGCAGUGUUGAGUAGUGUGAUUGGUAGGUCGGACAGGAGAGACUUGUUCGUGGAGAUGAUGGUGCUGUUAAUGGGAUUGGAGGAUGGGAAUGGUAGUAUGUUUUUGCUGGGUUCCUGCCCAUGUGGGUGUGGAGGAUAAGGCUGAUGUGGUGGCUAAGAGUGCUGUGAGGAGAGAGGGGGUAGAUAUUCAGGUCCCGCUGGGCCACAGGGAAGUCAAGUCCUUGAUCCGGGCAAAAGGGCUCAAUCUUUGGCAAAGGGAGUGGGAUGCUAGUAGUAAGGGAAGGCAAUUUUAUCGCUUGUACUGGUCAGUAAAGGAAGAGGUGGGGAGUAGAUUAUGGUUUGGGCACACAAGUUUGAAUGCCACGUUGUGGAUGAUAGGGAGACAUGAAACAUGUCUGUGUGAUGAGUGUUUAGUGUAGAAACGGUGGAGCAUGUGUUGCUAUUUUGUGAACUGUAUGACGUAGGGAGUGAUUGUGUGAAAG
rnacentral:lncRNA from 1 species